UGGGGAAUAUUGCACAAUGGGGGAAACCCUGAUGCAGCGACGCCGCGUGAGCGAAGAAGGUUUUCGAAUCGUAAAGCUCUGUCCUAUGAGAAGGUAAUGACGGUAUCAUAGGAGGAAGCCCCGGCUAAAUACGUGCCAGCAGCCGCGGUAAUACGUAUGGGGCGAGCGUUGUCCGGAAUUAUUGGGCGUAAAGGGUACGUAGGCGGUCUAUUAAGUCAGGUGUGAAAGCGUGAGGCUUAACCUCAUUAAGCACUUGAAACUGAUAGACUUGAGUGAAGGAGAGGAAAGUGGAAUUCCUAGUGUAGCGGUGAAAUGCGUAGAUAUUAGGAGGAAUACCGGUGGCGAAGGCGACUUUCUGGACUUUUACUGACGCUCAGGUACGAAAGCGUGGGGAGCAAACAGG
rnacentral:rRNA from 1 species